UGAAGAACGAUCAUAAAACGAUCAAUGACAAAUUAAGAAUUAUUUCAAGCGAGGAUAACAUAGAGAACAAGCUCACAAAAUUCGAGUUAAUUCUAUACACUUAUAAUCAUAAAUCGGUUCAUAAUACUACAAAAAGAUCCCCAGCUGAUAUCUUCCUGUACGCCGGACUAUCAGAUUAUAACACCCAACUGAAUAAGGUUAGGAAGAUCAAUCAUUUGAAUAACGAUAGAAUCGACUUUGAAGUAGACACAUGCUACAAAAAUGCACUCCUAGUUAAAAAAUAACAACCAAUCCGAUCAAAAGAAUAGGGGAAAUUCGGCAGAGUACCCGAAGAGAGUACUGGGAAUCUGGAGCUACAACAUGAUUAAGAUUAUAAUCUUACUAAUGUUCACCGUCCUACAGUCUACCGGACAGAAUAUAGAGAUAGAUCCCAUCAACUCAAGGAAUGGAUAUCUCAUAUUCAAAA